rnacentral:rRNA from 1 species
UGGGGAAUAUUGGACAAUGGGCGCAAGCCUGAUCCAGCAAUGCCGCGUGUGUGAAGAAGGCCUUCGGGUUGUAAAGCACUUUUAUCAGGAGCGAAACGCUGUCGGCUAAUACCCGGCGGAACUGACGGUACCUGAGGAAUAAGCACCGGCUAACUUCGUGCCAGCAGCCGCGGUAAUACGAAAGGUGCAAGCGUUAAUCGGAAUUACGGGCGGUGAAGCAGUGCGUAGGCGGUUUCUUAAGUCUGCUGUGAAAUCCCCGGGCUCAACCUGGGAAUGGCAGUGGAUACUGGGAGGCUAGAGUGUGUCAGAGGGUGGUGGAAUUCCCGGUGUAGCGGUGAAAUGCGUAGAGAUCGGGAGGAACAUCAGUGGCGAAGGCGGCCACCUGGGACAACACUGACGCUGAGGCACGAAAGCGUGGGGAGCAAACAGGAUUAGAUACCCUGGUAGUCCACGCCCUAAAACGAUGCGAACUGGAUGUUGGUCUCAACUCGGAGAUCAGUGUCGAAGCUAACGCGUUAAGUUCGCCGCCUGGGGAGUACGGUCGCAAGACUGAAACUCAAAGGAAUUGACGGGGUCAUAGCUGUUUCCUG